CUUUCUCCGCCGGCGACCGGCGCACGGGUGAGUAACACGUAUGCAACCUGCCCCUGUCAGGGGGACAACCCGCCGAAAGGCGGGCUAAACCCGCGUACAUGCCACCGGGGCAUCCCGGAGGCAGGAAAGGCUUCGGCCGGACAGGGAUGGGCAUGCGGCGCAUUAGGCAGUAGGCGGGGUAACGGCCCACCAACCGACGAUGCGUAGGGGUUCUGAGAGGAAGGUCCCCCACACUGGUACUGAGACACGGACCAGACUCCUACGGAAGGCAGCAG
rnacentral:rRNA from 1 species